rnacentral:rRNA from 1 species
GACGAACGCUGGCGGCGUGCCUAAUACAUGCAAGUAGGACGCAGUUGCGAACGGGUGAGCAACGCGUAGGUAACUGCCUAUUAGAGGGGGAUAACUAUUGGAAACGAUAGCUAAUACCGCAUACUAGUAGAUGGACCUGCGUUGUAUUAACUAGUAGGUAGGGGAAUGGCCUACCUAGGCGACGUGACAUAGCCGGCCUGAGAGGGUGGUCAGCCAAACUGGGACUGGGGCACGGCCCCGAAUCCUUCGGGAGGCAGCAGUAGGGAAUCUUCGGCAAUGGGGGGAACGCUGACCGCGCAACGCCGCGGGAGUGGAGAAAGUUUUCGGGUCGUAAAACUCUGUUGUUAAGGAAGCGGUACUUAACCAGAAAGGGACGGCUAACUACGUGCCAGCAGCCGCGGUAAUAC